rnacentral:rRNA from 1 species
GUAGGUGGCAAGCGUUGUCCGGAAUUAUUGGGCGUAAAGCGCGCGCAGGUGGUUCUUUAAGUCUGAUGUGAAAGCCCCCGGCUCAACCGGGGAGGGUCAUUGGAAACUGGGGAACUUGAGUGCAGGAGAGGAAAGUGGAAUUCCACGUGUAGCGGUGAAAUGCGUAGAUAUGCGGAGGAACACCAGUGGCGAAGGCGACUUUCUGGCCUGUAACUGACACUGAGGCGCGAAAGCGUGGGGAGCAAACAGGGAUUAGAUACCCUGGUAGUCCACGCCGUAAACGAUGAGUGCUAAGUGUUGGGGGGGUUUCCGCCCCCUCAGUGCUGCAGCUAACGCAUUAAGCACUCCGCCUGGGAGUACGGUCGCAAGACUG